GACGAACGCUGGCGGCGCGCUUAACACAUGCAAGUCGAGCGAGAACCGGGGCUUCGGCCCCGGGGACAGCGGCGAACGGGUGAGUAACACCUGAGUAACCUGCCCUCGUCACCGGAAUAGCCCGGGGAAACCCGGAUUAAUGCCGGAUGGCCCCUCUGCCCUGCGGGGCGGCGGGGAAGGGCAGCUUCGGCCUCCGGCCGAGCAUCGGCUCGCGGCGGAUUCGCUUGUUGGCGGGAUAACGGCCCACCAAGGCGACGUUCCGUAGCUGGUCUGAGAGGACGAUCCGCCACACUGGGACUGAGACACGGCCAAGAAUCCUACGGGAGGCAGCAGUGGGGAAUCUUGCGCAAUGGGCGAAAGCCUGACGCAGCGACGCCGCGUGCGGGAAGAAGGCCCUCGGGUUGUAAACCGCUUUCAGGAGGGACGAAGCCACUCGGGUGAACAGCCCAGAGGGUGACGGUACCUCCAGAAGAAGCCCCGGCUAACUACGUGCCAGCAGCCGCCGUAAAAC
rnacentral:rRNA from 1 species